GUGCCAGCCGCCGCGGUAAUACGUAGGUGGCAAGCGUUAUCCGGAAUUGUUGGGCGUAAAGCGCGCGUAGGCGGUUUUUUAAGUCUGAUGUGAAAGCCCACGGCUCAACCGUGGAGGGUCAUUGGAAACUGGAAAACUUGAGUGCAGAAGAGGAAAGUGGAAUUCCAUGUGUAGCGGUGAAAUGCGCAGAGACAUGGAGGAACACCAGUGGCGAAGGCGACUUUCUGGUCUGUAACUGACGCUGAUGUGCGAAAGCGUGGGGAUCA
rnacentral:rRNA from 1 species